rnacentral:rRNA from 1 species
GAUAGGCUAAUUAAGGGCGUAUGGGGAAUGCCUAGGCUCUCAGAGGCGAAGAAAGACGUGAUAAGCUGCGAAAAGCUACGGUUAGUGGCACAUACACUGUGAUCCGUAGAUAUCCCAAUGGGGCAACCCGGCAUAUUGAA